UUAGCGGCGGACGGGUGAGUAACGCGUGGAUAACCUGCCUCAUACAGGGGGAUAACAGUUAGAAAUGACUGCUAAUACCGCAUAAGCGCACAGGACCGCAUGGUCCGGUGUGAAAAACUCCGGUGGUAUGGGAUGGAUCUGCGUCUGAUUAGCUGGUUGGUGAGGUAACGGCCCACCAAGGCGACGAUCAGUAGCCGGCCUGAGAGGGUGAACGGCCACAUUGGGACUGAGACACGGCCCAAACUCCUACGGGAGGCAGCAGUGGGGAAUAUUGCACAAUGGGGGAAACCCUGAUGCAGCGACGCCGCGUGAGUGAAGAAGUAUUUCGGUAUGUAAAGCUCUAUCAGCAGGAAAGAAAAUGACGGUACCUGACUAAGAAGCCCCGGCUAACUACGUGCCAGCAGCCGCGGUAAUACGUAGGGGGCAAGCGUUAUCCGGAUUUACUGGGUGUAAAGGGAGCGUAGACGGUGAAGCAAGUCUGAAGUGAAAGGUGGGGGCUCAACCCCCGGACUGCUUUGGAAACUGUUUGACUGGAGUGCAGGAGAGGUAAGUGGAAUUCCUAGUGUAGCGGUGAAAUGCGUAGAUAUUAGGAGGAACACCAGUGGGGAAGGCGGCUUACUGGACUGUAACUGACGUUGAGGCUCGAAAGCGUGGGGAGCAAACAGGAUUAGAUACCCUGGUAGUCCACGCGGUAAACGAUGAUCACUAGGUGUCGGUGAGUAUAGACUCAUCGGUGCCGUCGCAAACGCA
rnacentral:rRNA from 1 species